rnacentral:lncRNA from 1 species
CUCGUGUCAUUAGACAGCGACACCAAAACAUAAAGCUACUCCAGCAUCUUUCUGUACAAGUCAACCCUAAACCUAACGACCGCAAGUGGUAUAACAUCAUACUUGGACACGCAUGGUACCUUUUCAUAUUCCUUUAUUUUAACAAUAGUUCGUAUUUUCAUAAUAUUGUCUGACUGGCUUGCAGGCGCUGGUAUAAAAUAUCACAUAAAUUAAACUUCUACUGGAUCUAUGCGGCCUCUAUUAUAACUGGUCUUAAGAUUAACACGCUGAGGCAUCACACUGACGGCACGGAAGAGGAAGGUCUUGAAGGGAAGAAUAUAGCCUUGGGGGAUACGAACAAUGUUGAAGAACAAAAGGUUCAUGCUGAUUAGUUUCCUAGCACAAUAAGUAUGAAAUCUUGGUGAUCUUUGAUUGCACUGGUCCAGACUGAUACUGCAGCAAAGAAGGGACCAAGGCAG